rnacentral:rRNA from 1 species
AUUGAACGCUGGCGGCAUGCCUUACACAUGCAAGUCGAACGGCAGCACGGGAGCAAUCCUGGUGGCGAUUGGCGAACGGGUGAGUAAUAUAUCGGAACGUGCCCAGUCGUGGGGGAUAACGUAGCGAAAGCUACGCUAAUACCGCAUACGAUCUAUGGAUGAAAGCGGGGGAUCGCAAGACCUCGCGCGAUUGGAGCGGCCGAUAUCAGAUUAGGUAGUUGGUGAGGUAAAGGCUCACCAAGCCGACGAUCUGUAGCUGGUCUGAGAGGACGACCAGCCACACUGGGACUGAGACACGGCCCAGACUCCUACGGGAGGCAGCAGUGGGGAAUUUUGGACAAUGGGCGCAAGCCUGAUCCAGCAAUGCCGCGUGCAGGAUGAAGGCC